AGGGAUUGCCUUAGUAACGGCGAGUGAAGCGGCAAAAGCUCAAAUUUGAAAUCUAACGCCUCUGGUGUUCGAGUUGUAAUUUGGAGAGGCAUCUUCCGGAGGGGCCCAGCCUAUGUGCCUUGGAACAGGACGUCAUAGAGGGUGAGAAUCCCGUUCUUGGCUGGAUGUUCCCUCCUUUAUGUAGUGUCUUCUACGAGUCGAGUUGUUUGGGAAUGCAGCUCAAAAUGGGUGGUAAAUUUCAUCUAAAGCUAAAUACUGGCGAGAGACCGAUAGCGCACAAGUAGAGUGAUCGAAAGAUGAAAAGCACUUUGAAAAUAGAGUCAAAAAGUACGUGAAAUUGUUGAAAGGGAAGCGCUUGAGACCAGAGUCAGCCUUUGGCAAACAAUUGUCCUUUGGGGCGGUGCACUUGUCAUUGGUUGGGCCAGCAUCGAUUAG
rnacentral:rRNA from 1 species